rnacentral:pre_miRNA from 1 species
UACUGCAUCAGGAACUGAUUGGAUGAUGUAGAGGGGCCAUCAGUUCUUGAUGCAUUGCC